rnacentral:rRNA from 1 species
GUGUCAGCAGCCGCGGUAAUACGGAGGGUCCAAGCGUUAUCCGGAAUCAUUGGGUUUAAAGGGUCCGCAGGCGGAACUUUAAGUCAGGGGUGAAAUUUCUAGGCUUAACCUAGACAUUGCCUUUGAAACUAAAGUUCUUGAAUUCGGUCGAAGUGGGCGGAAUAUGUCAUGUAGCGGUGAAAUGCUUAGAUAUGACGUGGAACUCCGAUAGCGAAGGCAGCUCACUAGGCCUGAAUUGACGCUCAGGGACGAAAGCGUGGGGAGCAAACAGGAUUAGAUACCCUGGUAGUCCACGCCGUAAACGAUGAUUACUCGAUAUCAGCGAUAUACUGUUGGUGUCUAAGCGAAAGUGAUAAGUAAUCCACCUGGGGAGUACGAUCGCAAGGUUGAA